rnacentral:lncRNA from 1 species
UUAAAUGUGUGGUAAUGUUAAAUGACCAUCAUGAAGAGAGAGCGACACUGACAACCUUAAGACAGAGCUGGAGGUGGAGAAGCGCUCAUCUGUAGUUUGUUGGUUUGACCAGCAGGUGGAGCUGCUGUAUAAACAAUAAACUGCGACUCAACCAAACAAGUUCCUGUUUGAGUGAACUUGUUUAAUUUUGACACAGGAGAGGAAGAUGAUUGUCAAGAAUACUGAACUUAAAAGAUGAUCAAAAACUGUCAGUAAAUGUCAUGAGAAGAAGAAUCUGUGAUCUGGUGGUUUAGGUUUCAGUGGAAAGAGUCCCUGUGAAAGUGAAAGUAAACUCAAGAGCAGACUCCAUUUUGAGAAAAGAACAGAGCAGAGAGAGGAGAGGACGAGGAGACAGGGUGAGUGUUUACUCUGGGUUUUCUAAUGUCAAAGUCUUUAUCUGUAUCAUCUGUUAAUGAAAAAUGAUUUACUGACUAAUACACUUAAAAACGGUAAAACAAAGAAACCUGACCAGACAAAGAGCUGGAUCAGUUCUUGAUACAGGAAACUGUGUACGUGCAGUUCUUCCUCCUUCUUGUUUAGACUUGUCUUUUUAGUAAAAACAAAAAUGAGUUUCUUUUCAUUUAGCCUCUCAUUUCAAAUUUAAUCCAGUCCCUUUAAUUUUUUAUGAGACUUCAGGGACCUCACAGCUGUUGUUGUUUUGACCAUGAAUCAGAGAGAGGCCCUGUAGCGUACAGAUUAAACCCUGUAUAACUCUUAAAGAGGGGUAGUAAGCUUAUUUCAGACUGAAUACUUUCUUUUUGAUUCCUCUUUAAUAUCUUUACAUGAUUUUCAGUUUAGUCUCCUGUUUCUCACUCUGGUGUAUUAAAAUAUCUUUAUUUCAGCCUCUUCCUAAAACACUUCAUUUUAGCUGCUGUCUCUUUAAGGCCUCCUGUCCACGAGUCUACUUCUAUUUCUGAACACUGUCCUCCUGUUUGUAUCUCACCUGUUUGUCUACUUUGUCCUCAGGUUGUAUAACUCGGUUUCAUCUUCCAAAAAGUUGCUCAACAUCAGAUGGAGAAGAUGAGUGUUUGUGUCGAGGAAGAGGAGGACAGAGCAGAGUCUGUCAUGUCAGACUGUCUGUCUAUGAAGAGUGACUGUUCUAAAGAUUUUAUCCUGGAGUUCAGGAAAGAACCAGGACCCUCAGAGGAGUGCAGAGCAAAGUCUAUUCCGUCCAGCUGUCUGUCUAUGAAGAGUGACCGGUCUAAAGGUAUUAUCCUGAACUUCAGAAAAGAACCAGAACCCUCAGAUUCACAGUAAGAGAAACACUUUUCAACCACCAAACUCUCAAACAACAACAAUUGAUGUUUCAAAAACAAAACUUUUAAAUUCUGACCCCUCUGUUUUCUACCAUGGUGAGAAAAAUGAUCUCCUCUGCUCUCAAAACGGUGAUUUUCCUCUGUAACCUGCCAACCUGGAUAAAGGGCUGGUGAAGAAAAUUCACUGAGCACAGAUUUACUUAUUAUUCAUCAUGUUGAUAAAAAUUAAGGUCGUAUAAAACAGCAUCUGAAAAGGAUUCUGACCUCUGUAUUUUCUGAUUUGGUUCCUGUGUUUGAGACGUUUUGAGCCUGUAAGUCUUUGGACUGUGGUGUAUAGACCCCAGAAAACAGUCUGUGGGUCACAAAAUACCAGAAGACCGAUGAAGAAAUCAUUCCUGUUUGAUCUUUUGAUCAAAAAACUGUAGAAUUGGUGGAGAAAAUCUCUCCACCCUCAAAAAUCUCAGUUUAGUUUUUCUCCUGUCUCCACACUUUCAGGCAGCAGCAGCUGAAUAUUUUACAGGAGAUUGUUUUAUGUUAGAGAAAAGAGUGAGGUCAGAAACUCUGGUUUAAUAAAUGCUUCUUAUUCUGUAUCUUUCAAACAUGAAAUGAUAAAGAAAAUAAAUGUUCUUUAUUUCCACAGAGAGACACAGAGAUGUGACUCUGUGGAGGAGCAGCUGUCCAGAUGUUCAUCAUGUCAGGACGUCCUGAAGGAUCCAGUCUCUUACCGCUGUGGACACCUGUCCUGCAGACAGUGCCUGGCCUCAUGCAGGGACCAGUCUACUUCUUUAGGACACACCUCCUGUCCCCAGUGUGGAAAAAGAACCAGAACAGCUCUUGUCUCUCAGACAGACAGUCAGUCCAGCUCUGAUGGAAGUAAGUCUGAACAUCUGUCCUCUAAAGUCUCUGUGGAUGAAAACUCAGCUGACUGAUUUUCACAAAGACGUUUUCGUGUUGAGAAGUUUGGUUCAUUUGAUUUUUCUUCUCUUUCAGAAGAUGGCGGUCUGCAGGAGGUUUUAGAUGAACAUAAGAUCAGUCUGAAGAGGAGAUGUGAACGUGUGAAUGAAGGAAGUGAUGGAACAGGAAGUAGUCAAACCCUCCUCAACAGGAUCUUCACUGAGCUCUACAUCACACAGGGACUGAGUGAAGAGGUGAACACCCAACAUGAGGUGAGACAGCUGGAGACAGCUUCAAAGAUGGAGACCCUCCAUGACACGCCCAUCAAGUGUCAUGAGAUCUUUCAAACCUUACCUGACCAACAGAAGAAGGUCAUCAGAGUGGUUCUGACCAACGGCGUGGCUGGUGUUGGAAAAACCUUCUCAGUGCAGAAGUUCACUCUGGACUGGGCAGAGGGUUUGGAGAACCAAGACCUCAAUCUGGUGAUCCUGCUUUCAUUCAGGGAGCUGAACCUGAUCAGAGAUGAGCGCUUCAGUCUUCUGAGUCUGCUCCAUGUUUUCCAUCCAACACUAGAGAAGGUCACAGCAGAGACGCUGGCUGUCUGUAAACUUCUGUUCAUCUUUGACGGUCUGGAUGAAAGCAGACUGUCUCUGGAUUUCACAGACUCUGAGGUGGUGUCUGACGUCACACAGAAGUCUUCACUGAACGUUCUGAUAACAAACCUCAUCAAGGGGAACCUGCUCCCCUCAGCUCUCAUCUGGAUAACUUCUCGACCUGCAGCAGCCAAUCAGAUCCCUCCUUCAUGUGUGGACAGGGUAACAGAAGUACGAGGCUUCACUGACGACCAGAAGGAGGUGUACUUCAGGAAGAGGUUCAGAGAUGAGGAACUGUCCAGAAGAAUCAUCUCACACAUCAAGUCCUCCAGGAGCCUCCACAUCAUGUGUCAGAUCCCGGUCUUCUGCUGGAUCACUGCUACAGUUCUGGAGGACAUGAUGAGCAGAGAGCAGAGAGGAGAGCUGCCCAAGACCCUGACGGACAUGUACUCACACUUCCUGCUGGUCCAGACUAAGAGGAAGAAGCAGAAGUAUGAAGGAGGACAUGAGACAAGUCCUCAGGAGCUGACGGAGGCUGACAGUGAAGUCCUCCUGAAGCUGGGGAGGCUGGCCUUUGAACAUCUGGAGAAAGGAGACAUCAUGUUCUACCAAGAAGACCUGGAGCGGUGUGGUCUGGAUGUCUCAGAGGCCUCGGUGUACUCAGGAGUUUGUACAGAGAUCUUCAGAAGAGAGAGUGUGAUCUUCCAGAAAACUGUUUACUGUUUCGUUCAUCUGAGCGUUCAGGAGUUUCUGGCUGCAGUCUACGUGAUCCACAGUUUCACAAACAGGAACACAAAAGUUCUGAAGACUUUCCUAAGAGGCAACAAUGACGAAGACAAAAUGUCUCACUUAAAGACGGUUUCCAGAUCUUUUAAAAACCUAAAUCUCUUCCUGAAGAAUGCCAUGAAGAAAUCUCUUGUCAGUAAAAACGGUCACCUGGACCUGUUUGUUCGCUUCCUUCAUGGACUCUCUCUGGAGUCAAACCAGAGACUCUUAGGAGGUCUGCUGGGUCACACAGGCAACAGUCCAAUAAUGAUCCAAAGAGUCAUCAACAACCUGAAGGAGAUGAACAGUAGAGAUAUCUCUCCUGACAGAAGCAUCAACAUCUUCCACUGUCUGAUGGAGAUGAACGAUCUGUCAGUUCAUCAGGAGAUCCAAGAGUUCCUGAAGUCAGAGAAGAGGUCAAGUAGGAAAUUCUCAAUUAUCCAAUGCUCUGCUCUGGCCUACAUGCUGCAGAUGUCAGAGGAGGUUCUGGAUGAGUUGGACUUUAAGAAGUAUAAAACAUCAAACCAGGGACGACUGAGACUGAUGCCAGCUGUGAGGAACUGCAGAAAAGCUCGGUAAGUCCAGGUUUUAUUCUCAGAAUAGUGUAAAUGAUCCCUGUAGUUCUUCUAAUGUCCACGUUACUGAUGAUGUUCUUCUUCAAAUAGAAAUCAGCUAAAACUAUCAGGGAGGGGGUUUCUUUAGGUUCAGCGAAAACAUGAUCCUGGUUUUUGUCUGUAAUGAAUAAAGUGGAACUUUCAGGACAAAUCAGCGACCAUAUCUGAGGACACACAGAGGUCUUCUGAUGAUGGUAUCAGUCCAGAUCAACAUCUCAGUCAGUUGUGGUGAACUUGAGUUUGAAGAAGGUGUCUGCAGCUUCUUCCUGCUGGAACUGGAUCAUUUUCUACACAGUGGCAGAACUGUCUCUGUACCAUCAUGUUCGUCAUCAUCAAUACAACCAUGAAAACUAACAUCAUUUUCCACCACUCACUGGAUAUUAUCUGGUGAACUAGAACAUAUGCAUGAUGAGAACAUGAGUUAUUUGGACAGCAGCUCCAUGUGUCUGAAAACAAUGGUGGAAAUAGGAUGUUAAUGUCUCUCUCUAUGCUAAUGACGCACUAACACUAGUCUGCCUCAUAACACCUCAUAGUAUGGGGAAACAGCUGUGCUCUUCCACUGUAUAUAUGGACACCAUGUCUCUAAGGAGAAGCAGUGUGACUGCAUCAUCAUCAUCAGUUUUCCAUGGUGUCCCUUUGUUGUCAUAGUGAUGCUGCAGAGUGAAGAUGGUUCCUCUAAUGUUGAGGUGUUGGUGGGCUGUAGCGGUCACAUUUCUCCCACUCGGCUGCGUGCCUCGGUUUAAGGUCUGAACCAGGUCUAAAGGACUAACAAGACAGACUUUUUUAGGAAGCAAAAACUAGCAAAAAAACUAGCAAUCUGUUAUUUUUAUAGGAGUUAUGCGAACUUAUGUCUCAUAGAGUUCAAAUAACCUCAAUCAUGAGAGAGAGAGAGAAACAAACAAAGACAGAGGUUCAGUGGGUCUUUGUAUCUGUCUCUUAAAGGUCUCUCUGGAUUCAUCAGGCUUUAUAAACUUGUUUCUGCUGGUGAAGGGAAUGUUACAUGGAGAAAAAACUUUGACUGUGAAAACAAAGAAAUCUUCAACUCUUCAAAUGUUCAGAGUCAAACCAGCUCUAACCUGCUAAAAAACGAUUUGAUCUGAACCAAUCAUAGAAAAAGGAGCUGCUGCUGUGAUUUAGUGAGUCGUCCUCUGAUUGGUCAACAGGCCGUCUGUCAAACCAAAGAUCAUGUUUAAGUUGUUUUUGGUGAAGAGAAACAUCAAAUUACCCUUCAAUGAAAUAUUGUUUGAUGUUUAUGUUGUUACAGAUUUUCUGACUGUGGACUCUCAAAGACUCACUGUAAAUUUGUGGCCUCAGCCCUGAAGUCCGACCCCUCCUAUCUGAGACAUCUGGACCUGAGUGGAAACAAACUGCAGGAUUCAGGAGUGAAGCUUCUCUCUGCAGGACUGCAGAGUCCAAACUGCAGACUGAAGAUUCUGAGGUCAGACACCAUUUCCUUCUGAUCUAACAAUAAGAUGUGACAGUUGCUGCCUUAGAUUUUUCUCUGUGGUUUUUCCAUCACCUUUAGUCGAGCAGUUUGAAUUGGAGUUGUAAAACUUCUACUCAAAGUCAACUCUGAAAUGUUUGAUUUUUCUUCCUGUGUUGAAUGAUGGAUGUAGAAAGGAAGCAGGAGAAAAUCAGUCCCACAAAUAUUACACAUGCUUGUAGAGGGCAGGAGCAGCACAGACUAAAGGCUGAUAUUGAACUGAUCCACAGUUAAUGUGAUCACUAAUGAAUGAAUGAAGUGUCAGAGAAAUGAUUAGCUGCAGAUUGAAACCUUAAGAACAAAGUUAAUCCAACUCUGGAUAUUUCAUUUGGAAACUCUUGAAAACUUGAAUUUCUUCUUUGCUCAGUCGUGUUCAAAUGUAAAAACCAGAUCCAGAUUUUUCUGCAGUUUUCACUUCAGUUUGUUGAACAUUAACAUCAUCUUGUCCAGUUGGUCCAUAAAAACCUCUCUGAUCAAUGAUCUGUUGGUUUAUUUACGAGUAGUUUGUCAGUUGUUGACGGCAGACGGACAGAGCCCUGAAUAAACUCCUGACUGUUUUCAUCUUCAUGAAGAAUUCAGGACUACAAAAAAACCUUUGAGAUUUCUCACAUUAAUUUCUCAGGAUCUCACUAAAGUUUUCUGUAUUCUAAACAUAUUCUUGACUGAAUUAUUCCUCAGGAUCUUCACAAAGUUUAGAGAGAAUUUCACAAAGUUCCUCAAGAUCAACUCUGAAAAAGUUCUCCUUCCAUGUCCCUCAGGGGCUCAAGAACAUUGAAUCAUUAAAGCAGGAACAGUUUCUUUAGAGGUUCAAUGAUUUUUUUUUUUUUUCAGAUUGAGUGACUGCAGUUUGUUUAGCUGUUCUUCUCUGGCCUCGGCUCUGUAUUUCAAUCCCUUCCAUCUGAGACAGUUGGACCUGAGUGACAACAAAUUGCAGGAUUCAGGAGUGGAGCUGCUGUGUGACUUUCUGCAGGAUCCAAACGGUAAACUGGAGCAUCUGGGGUAAGUUUAGUCUUUGUCUGUUUCUGGUGUAGAUUUUAAUGUUUAAUCAUUUUUUUUAACCCAAUUCAAAUGUUCACAGACUUCUUGAAUAUUUCCAGAACUUUCUUCUCACUCACAUACAUUCAUAGUUUUUAUUGAAUCAGCAGUCAGAUACAGAUAGAGGAAAAUGAGCACUGUGAGUUAUUUUGUUGAUUGAAUGUUGAUGAUUUUUUAUCAAUGGUUCAGAUGAGCACUGCAGUGAUGUUGAGGGGUUUACUUCCUCGGUCUCUAAAACAUUUAAAUGUUCAAGGAUGCAGUGAACUCAGUUUCCAUGCAGCUCAGAAACACAGCUCAUCUUUUUCAAACUUCAAAAUUCUUGAGACUGAAUUUUGUUUGUCAUGAGAUGUGACAGCUGAUUUUAUAAAUUAACUUGAAGAUAACUUCAGAGACAUUUUGAACAUAUUCGUGAGUUAAUAUUCAUUAAUUACAACCAUAUCAUAGUGAUAUCAGACAGGAGUGUGACAGGUGUUUAUUAGUCUUUUUGACACGUUACAAUAAUGAGGAUAAAGUCAUGGACUAAACUUGGGCUCCCAGUUUCCUUGUUGUUGUUGUUGCUUCAGCUAGCAUCAUUGUUUUCAUCACAGUUAUUAAAGUAAUAAUGAUGCUUCAUGAAUUCAGAGUCACAAAAAACACCAAACAAACCAAAUCUGAAAAAAAUCCACUUUUUCAUCAAAUGUGUUUAAUCUGUCAGAACAUGAGGUUUGAGUUUUCAUGAGGAGGAAUAGAGAAAUAUCUGCAAUGAUAGAUAGAAACACAGACACCUGAAUUUACACUGACAGACACACAAACACAGACAGAGAGACACAAACAGGGAUUUCCACUUUGUCACUUUGCUCUGAUGACUGAAGUCACAAAAACAAAGUUUUCUUUGUCACUUUUAUGAUUGAACCAAAUAAGUUCAAGAACCAAACUCUCAGAUUUUGUUCUUCCCAAUAUUAUUUGAACCAUUUUGAUUUUUCUUCUGAUCAAUAUUCAAUGAUCAGAUUGAUUAGGUUCCUGUUUUGGCUCCACUGCCUCUUUUCUGCGAGCUCAAUAACUGCUCAUAUGGUUUGAAAGGUUCCUGCUGCAAAACCCGAUUAGAGAGUGGACUAAAUGAAAUGUGAGUGAACUCAGCCAUCAGUGAAUAAAUGACAAAGUGAGAGGAAGAGUGGAUCUGUCUGCUCUCUGACCUUGUUGAUCCUGAUGAAGGUGAGGGAGAAGAGUAAAGCAGUAAAGGUGAUGUUGUUGCAGACAGAGUCAGCUGACCUGUCUCAUCAGAGUCUCAUCCAUUCUCUGUUUAGCAGAGCGCUGAUGUUACAGUCUGAGAGCACAUUCAGGUUCAGCUUCACAUGGGCUGGAUCUGCUCAAUACAAACUCUUGAGACCAGCCUGGUUGAGGGAGGUGGGCUCAGUGUCCUGGGUGACUCUCUCUGAGCUCUUCUUGGUUGAGAGUAUUUCUGGUUUGUCUCUGACUUCCAUGAACUCAGAUCUGGAGGAUUGCUGGCUGGUCCGGUCCAGUGCUGACAGUAGAGACAACACAGUCUGUUAUUCUGGGUUGGGUGUUCUUGUUGAAGAUCAGUGUACAGUGAGGGAUGAAGGCAGACAAAGAUCCUCCUGUUUCCUCCAUGUCACAGUUCAAGUUCAUUUUGAAGACUUUUAUUGAUCCGAGCGCUGAAGAGGAACAGGAAACAUGGAGUAGAGAGUGAGGGAGGACUUACAGCAAAGGAUCAUGGGAGUCUAACCAGCAACUGCUACGACAAGGACUCCACCUUCUGAACACCUGAACCUCUAAUCCAAACCAGUGCUCCAUCACACUUGAUGUCUUGUCUGUUAUUUAACAUGGAGGGUCAGAGCAGACCAGAUAAUGAGCUCUGACAGACUGGAUCUGGUCCAAAGGUCUCCUGUUGGAGUUCUCGAAGCUCCAUAUUUUAAAUCUGAACACGUGAAGUUUGAUUAUUAAUUAUUUUUAUCUACAUUCUCUUUCCUUUUUUCAGACUGAGUGGCUGCAGUUUGUCAGAGAUCAGCUGUUCUUCUCUGGCCUCAGCUCUGAAGUCCAACCCCUCCCAUCUGAGUGAGCUAAACUUGGGUAACAACGAUCUGCAGGACUCAGGAGUGAAGCUGCUGUGUGACUUUCUGCAGAGUCCAAACUGUAAACUGGACAUUCUGGGGUAAGUUUGUUGAUGAUGUUUUCAUGUCUAGAGGACAUGCUGGAGUGAAUUCAACCAAACCUCCUGAGAAAAAGACAGCAGUGGCAGACAUUAGAUCAGACUUCAUGACGUCUGUGCGUCCCGUUAAUCAACCAAAUCAGCAGUCUGAGAGUUUUCCCUCAUCUCUUUAGAUUUGAUGGUUUUUGUGAUUUUAAUGUUUCCACACAAACUUUAAAUUGUUGAAACUGAAUUUUGUUCGUCAUGAUAAUGUGACAGCUGAUUUUAUAAAAAAACUUUUAGAUUUGGAGUUAAAGUGUUUCAAUUUCAGACAUUUUGAACAUAUUUAUGAGUUUUUAUUCAUUAAUUACAACCAUAUCAUACUGAUAUCAGACAGGAGUGUGACAGGUGUUUAUUUUGUCUUUUUGACACGUUACAAUAAUGAGGAUAAAGUCAUGGACUAAACUUGGGCUCCCAGUUUCCUUGUUGUUGUUGUUGCUUCAGCUAGCAUCGUUUUCAUCACAGUUAUUAAAGUAAUAAUGAUGCUUCAUAAAUCCAGAGUCACAAAAAACACCAAACAAACCAAAUCUGAAAAAGAUCCACUUUUUCAUCAAAUGUGUUUAAUCUGUCAGAUCAUGAGGUUUGAGUUUUCAUGAGGAGGAAUAGAGAAAUAUCUGCAGUGACAGAGAGAAACACAGACGCCUGAAUUUACACUGACAGACACACAAACACAGACAGAGAGACACAAACAGGGAUUUCCACUUUGUCACUUUGCUCUGAUGACUGAAGUCACAAAAACAAAGUUUUCUUUGGUUCUUGAACUUAUUUGGUUAAAUCAUAAAAGUGACAAACUCUCAGAUUUUGUUCUUCCCAAUAUUAUUUAAUGAGCUCUUUCAAACUGGAUCUGGUCCAAAGGUCUCCUGUUGGAGUUCUCUAGGCUUGAUUUUUUUAAACCUGAAAACUUGAAGUUUGAUUAUUAAUUAUUUUUAUCUACAUUCUUUAUCCUUUUUUCAGGCUGUGGAGCUGCGGGUUGUCAGAGAUCAGCUGUUCUUCUCUCGUCUCAGCUCUAAAGUCCAACCCCUCGCAUCUGAGAUUUCUGGACCUGAGUGACAACAAAUUGCAGGAUUCAGGAGUGAAGCUGCUGUGUGACUUUCUGCAGGAUCCAAACUGUGAACUGGCGAUUCUGGGGUUAGUUUAUUCUUUGUCUGUUUCUGGUGUAGCUUUUGAUGUUUAAUCAUUUUUUUAACCCAAUUCAAAUGUUCACAGACUUCUUGAAUAUUUCCAGAACUUUCUUCUUACUCACAAAGGUGACAAAGAUCCUCCUGUUUCCUCCAUGUCACAGUUCAAGUUCAUUUUGAAGAGUUCUCUAAGCUCGACAUUUUAAACCUGAACAUAUGAAGUUUGAUUAUUAAUUAUUUUUAUUUACAUUCUCUUUCCUUUUUUCAGACUGAGUUUCUGCAGUUUGUCAGAGAUCAGCUGUUCUUCUCUGGCCUCAGCUCUGAAGUCCAACCCUUCCCAUCUGAGAAACCUGGACCUGAGUGGAAACGAUCUGCAGGAUUCAGGAGUGAAGCUGCUGUGUGACUUUCUGCAGAGUCCAAACUGUGAACUGGAGAUUAUAGAGUGAGACUUUUUUCCUCCAUUCAAACAUUAUCAUGAUUUGUUUGUGAUGAUGACACUAAACUGCUGACUCAGGACUGAAAUACUGACCCAGACUGAACACCUUCAGUCCAGAGUAGAUUUUCUGCAUCAGUGGAUUAUUUGAUUGACUCCAGUUCGAUCACUGCUGAGCUCCAGUGAAUUAAAACCUGAACCCAAGAAGAAACUCUUUGUAGAGUUCACAGUGAGAAGCACAUUCAGACAGAAAACAGAAGCAGGGGGAGAUUUGUCAGACGAGAACCAUUCAAACUUUUGUUCAGGACAAGAUCAGGGAAUAGAAAAAACUCAGAGUUUAGUUUCUGACACUGAUGAAAGUCCAGCUCUGUUACUUUGAAUUUUGAUUGUUUUUAAAUCUUUGUGUGAAAAUCUGAAUUUGAUGGUUUAUCAUGUGUUUUUGAAUUCACUGUUUCAAACUGACUUCCUGUUUGGUUCAGCUCUUUGGAGCGUCACUUUUCUCUGAUUCAUACUUUCCAAACCUUUCCCCUGAACUCUACAGAUUUAAGACAUCAGGUUUCAAACUGGAUCAUUUUUCUCUAAAAUCUCAUUAUUUCCUCUUUAUUUAGGUUGAAAUACUGCAGUUUGACAAAGAUCAGCUGUUCUUCUCUGGCCUCAGCUCUGAAGUCCAACCCCUCCCAUCUGAAAACUCUGGACCUGAGAGACAACAAUCUGCAGUAUUCAGAUCUGAAGCCGCUGCGUGAUCUUCAGAAGAGUCUAGACUACAGCCUGGAGGAUCUGAGGUCAGUAUAGAGUUGGAGUUGCAGAUAUUCAGUAUUUCCUGCUGACUCUUCGACCCUCUCAGAGGAUUCUUUCUUUAGUGAAGCUGUGAGAACAGAAAUCAUCAAACCAGGAGUGUAAGAGUGUCAGUCAUGAAAAAAGUGUCUCCUCGUCUCUAUAUUUCAGAUCAAAUGUAGAAAUGAGACAUAAUGAAACAGAAAUGUUCAGUUUCUGCUCUGAAGUCCAGUUUAUAGUUCUCUGUAUUCAACACAGACUUUAUUUCUCUGCUAACUUGUUGAUUUUGAGCUCUAAGUCUGAAAACAGACAGCUGUUCUUUAUACUUGUUAUUUUCACAGCAGGUUUGUUCGAUCAGCUUUAACACAUUUGACAGGAAGGAUUUCUUUAUUUUGAUGAUGUUGGUUUAUUUGUGAGGAAACCUGCUGCUUUACACCAUCACUUCUGGUCUGAGCAGGACUGAGACCUGCUGGUCUGUAAACUGGAUGUUCUUCAGUCCAGCUGAUGAAGUGAGUCUCAGAGUGGAAACACUGAUCGUCUUUUUUUCUCUCCGCAGCCGGGUUGACCUCAAGAGUGAUGAUGAAGAGGAUGAUCUGUCUUCUGAUGAUCAGAGAGGUGAAGGCAGCAGUAGUGAGGAUGAGUCUCUGACUUGGCCAUGUUACUGAGAGACUGACUGACCAAUCACAGCGGACGGAGAGGACUCUGGGAGCUGCACUUUGACCUGCUCUGAGAUCAGCUCAGGACCUGGACUCUGGAUAUUUGAUAUUUUCCCUCAUAUUCUGGGAUCAAACAGUCUGAACAGGUUUGUUUUGUUUAUGGAAACAUGAUCAUAAAUUCACCCACCCCCAUGAUGCAGCGCCACCUAGUGGAAAUAUAAAGCGGUGGAGUUGAUGUAUUCCCACAGACUUCUGCAGCAGGAGUUGAUACCAUGUGUGACAGUAGAUCAGUCAGAAGUUCUGAUUAAGGCUGUUUUUCAGGGACCAAAACUUUCUGUCUGUCAGAACAUUUAGAGCUAAAAUCUGGGAGAGUUAAGACUAAUCUAAACAAAGUGUUGAGUUUCAGAACAGUACAACACGUCGUCAUGGGUAGCCUCCUGGAGGAUAGAUAUGAUGUACCCAUGAUGAUGAAAGACUCAUACACACACACACACACACAUAUCAGAGGUACAAGCAGUUUCAAAGGGAGUAGACGAAAGGCUUAGGGAGCUUUCUUUGGUUUUGGUCAAAACUCUGUCAUCUUUACUGAUUUCUACAUCUGUACAAUAAAAGACACCCAGGCUGUGCUUCAGAUCUCAUCCUGUCUCCUGUGCAUUGUUUUACUGAGUUUAUGCUGGAUUCUCCACUACAUCCCUGUACAUGUUUUUGUUCUCAUAUAAUCUUUGAGCUCAUCAAUAAUCGAUUCCCUCCUGUUUGGAUGUACAAACACAAUCAUUAAACCAUAAAUGAGACCUGAAUGUAAAAGUAAAAUGUGUGAAAUAUAAUUUGUCAAAGCAAAGAUUCUUGAACAAAAAAACUCCAAAGCUUUUCUAUCCCACAGAGAAGAUCGGUUUGUUUUCAGAGACCUUCCUGAUCCCAUCCCUCCAAAAUGAAAAUAAUCUGAUGAUUUAUUAACUGCUGAAUCAAAAACAUAAGUUGUUCCUUAUUUUCUUUACGCAAACGUUUGUGUUCAUUUAAUCAUUUUCCAUGUUAAGCUGGAUGGUGGGGAUUUGUCGUGUUAUGUGCAUAUAUUCAUGUAAGGACUCUUAAACAAGUGGUUGCGACACGUCGUUAUCUGUUCCACAAUGGCUGUCUUGCUUUCCUUCUUCUCAACUCUGAGUGUUCGGUUGUACGGGACAUCGUAAUAAGUUAUUCACAGUUUUUUUAAUGAAAAUUUUAUGGUAGUUUGUUGCUGGUUAAUGAUAGUUCAUUCGUUUUCUUUGACAGCCAAGUUAGCCAAAGAAACAAGUCAAACAAGAAAUUGUUAUUAAAAUCUUGUAACUUGUCAGGAAAGCUCCUGCAUCUUGCAAAGUAUUGGUGAUUUCUUUUCUUGUUUCAUCUGAAAAAUUCGUAGGAGAUGGUAAAAGACCUCUCGCUUUAAGUUUGCAUGGUCUUAUCAAAAUUAGCUGCUGUUCUGCGCUUUUUAACUUAUUUUAGUUUUUUCUAGGAUUAUAAUUAAUUAAAUGUGUGGUAAUGUUAAAUGAGCAUCAUGAAGAGAGAGCGACAUUGACAACCUUAAGACAGAGCUGGAGGUAGAGAAGCACUCAUCUGUAGUUUGUUGGUUUGACCAGCAGGUGGAGCUGCUGUGUAAACAAUAAACUGAGACUCAACCAAACAAGUUCCUGUUUGAGUGAACUUGUUUAAUUUUGACACAGGAGAGGAAGAUGAUUGUCAAGAAUACUGAACUUAAAAGAUGAUCAAAAACUGUCAGUAAAUGUCAUGAGAAGAAGAAUCUGUGAUCUGGUGGUUUAGGUUUCAGUGGAAAGAGUCACUGUGAAAGUGAAAGUAAACUCAAGAACAGACUCCAUUGAGAAAAGAACAGAGCAGAGAGAGGAGAGGACGAGGAGACAGGGUGAGUGUUUACUCUGGGUUUUCUAACGUCAAAGUCUUUAUCUGUAUCAUCUGUUAAUGAAAAAUGAUUUACUGACUAAUACACUUAAAAACUGUAAAACACAGAAACCUGACCAGACAAAGAGCUGGAUCAGUUCUUGAUACAGGAAACUGCGUACGUGCAGUUCUUCCUCCUUCUUGUUUAGACUUGUCUUUUUAGUAAAAACAAAAAUGAGUUUCUUUUCAUUUAGCCUCUCAUUUCAAAUUUAAUCCAGUCCCUUUAAUUUUUAUGAGACUUCAGGGACCUCACAGCUGUUGUUGUUUUGACCAUGAAUCAGAGAGAGGCCCUGUAGCGUACAGAUUAAACCCUGUAUAACUCUUAAAGAGGGGUAUUAAGCUUAUUUCAGACUGUAUACUUUCUUUCUGAUUCCUCUUUAAUAUCUUUACAUGAUUUUCAGUUUAGUCUCCUGUUUCUCACUCUGGUGUAUUAAAAUAUCUUUAUUUCAGCCUCCUCCUAAAACACUUCAUUUUAGCUGCUGUCUCUUUAAGGCCUCCUGUCCACGAGUCUACUUCUAUUUCUGAACACUGUCCUCCUGUUUGUAUCUCACCUGUUUGUCUACUUUGUCCUCAGGUUGUAUAACUCGGUUUCAUCUUCCAAAAAGUUGCUCAACAUCAGAUGGAGAAGAUGAGUGUUUGUGUCGAGGAAGAGGAGGACAGAGCAGAGUCUGUCAUGUCAGACUGUCUGUCUAUGAAGAGUGACUGUUCUAAAGAUUUUAUCCUGGAGUUCAGGAAAGAACCAGGACCCUCAGAGGAGUGCAGAGCAAAGUCUAUUCCGUCCAGCUGUCUGUCUAUGAAGAGUGACGUAUCUAAAGGAAUUCCUCUAAACUUCAGUAAAGAACCAGGACCCUCAGAGGAGUACAGAGCAAUGUCUGUUAUGUCCGACUGUCUGUCUAUGAAGAGUGACUGGUCUAAAGAGAUUAUCCUGGAGUUCAGGAAAGAACCAGGACCCUCAGAUUCACAGUAAGAGAAACACUUUUCAACCACCAAACUCUCAAACAACAACAAUUGAUGUUUCAAAAACAAAACUUUAAAUUCUGACCCCUCUGUUUUCUACCAUGGUGAGAAAAAUGAUCUCUGCUCUCAAAACAGUGAUUUUCCUCUGUAACCUGCCAACCUGGAUAAAGGGCUGGUGAAGAAAAAGUCACUGAGCACAGAUUUACUUAUUAUUCAUCAUGUUGAUAAAAAUGAAGGUCGUAUAAAACAGCAUCUGAAAAGGAUUCUGACCUCUGUAUUUUCUGAUUUGGUUCCGGCGUCUGAGACGUUUUGAGUCUGUAAGUCUUUGGACUGUGGUGUAUAGACCCCAGAAAACAGUCUGUUGGUCACAAAAUACCAGAAGACCGAUGAAGAAAUCAUUCCUGUUUGAUCUUUUGAUAAAAAAACUGUAGAAUUGGUGGAGAAAAUCUCUCCACCCUCAAAAAUCGCAGUUUAGUUUUUCUCCUGUCUCCACACUUUCAGGCAGCAGCAGCUGAAUAUUUUACAGGAGAUUGUUUUAUGUUAGAGAAAAGAGUGAGGUCAGAAACUCUGGUUUAAUAAAUGAUUCUUAUUCUGUAUCUUUCAAACAUGAAAUGAUAAAGAAAAUAAAUGUUCUUUAUUUCCACAGAGAGACACAGAGAUGUGACUCUGUGGAGGAGCAGCUGUCCAGAUGUUUUUCAUGUCAGGACGUCCUGAAGGAUCCAGUCUCUUACCGCUGUGGACACCUGUCCUGCAGACAGUGCCUGGCCUCAUGCAGGGACCAGUAUACUUCUUUAGGACACACCUCCUGUCCCCAGUGUGGAAAAAGAACCAGAACAGUUCUUGUCUCUCAGACAGACAGUCAGUCCAGCUCUGAUGGAAGUAAGUCUGAACAUCUGUCCUCUAAAGUCUCUGUGGAUGAAAACUCAGCUGACUGAUUUUCACAAAGACGUUUUCGUGUUGAGAAGUUUGGUUCAUUUGAUUUUUCUUCUCUUUCAGCAGAUGGCGGUCUGCAGGAGGUUUUAGAUGAACAUAAGAUCAGUCUGAAGAGGAGAUGUGAACGUGUGAAUGAAGGAAGUGAUGAAACAGGAAGUAGUCAAACCCUCCUCAACAGGAUCUUCACUGAGCUCUACAUCACACAGGGACUGAGUGAAGAGGUGAACACACAACAUGAGGUGAGACAGCUGGAGACAGCUUCAAAGAUGGAGACCCUCCAUGACACGCCCAUCAAGUGUCAUGAGAUCUUUAAAACCUUACCUGACCAACAGAAGAAGGUCAUCAGAGUGGUUCUGACCAACGGCGUGGCUGGUGUUGGAAAAACCUUCUCAGUGCAGAAGUUCACUCUGGACUGGGCAGAGGGUUUGGAGAACCAAGACCUCCAUCUGGUGGUCCUGCUUUCAUUCAGGGAGCUGAACCUGAUCAGAGAUGAGCGCUUCAGUCUUCUGAGUCUGCUCCAUGUUUUCCAUCCAACACUAGAGAAGGUCACAGCAGAGACGCUGGCUGUCUGUAAACUUCUGUUCAUCUUUGACGGUCUGGAUGAAAGCAGACUGUCUCUGGAUUUCACAGACUCUGAGGUCCUGUCUGACGUCACACAGAAGUCUUCACUGAACGUUCUGAUAACAAACCUCAUCAAGGGGAACCUGCUCCCCUCAGCUCUCAUCUGGAUAACUUCUCGACCUGCAGCAGCCAAUCAGAUCUCUCCUUCACGUGUGGACAGGGUAACAGAAGUACGAGGCUUCACUGACGCCCAGAAGGACGAGUACUUCAGGAAGAGGUUCAGAGAUGAAGAUCUGUCCACAAGAAUCAUCUCACACAUCAAGUCCUCCAGGAGCCUCCACAUCAUGUGUCAGAUCCCGGUCUUCUGCUGGAUCACUGCGACAGUUCUGGAGGACAUGAUGAGCAGAGAGCAGAGAGGAGAGCUGCCCAAGACCCUGACGGACAUGUACUCACACUUCCUGCUGGUCCAGACUAAGAGGAAGAAGCAGAAGUAUGAAGGAGGACAUGAGACAAGUCCUCAGGAGCUGACGGAGGCUGACAGUGAAGUCCUCCUGAAGCUGGGGAGGCUGGCCUUUGAACAUCUGGAGAAAGGAGACAUCAUGUUCUACCAAGAAGACCUGGAGCGGUGUGGUCUGGAUGUCUCAGAGGCCUCGGUGUACUCAGGAGUUUGUACAGAGAUCUUCAGAAGAGAGAGUGUGAUCUUCCAGAAAACUGUUUACUGUUUCGUUCAUCUGAGCGUUCAGGAGUUUCUGGCUGCAGUCUACAUGAUCCACAGUUUCACAAACAGGAACGCAGAAGUUCUGAAGACUUUCCUAAGAGGCAACAAUGACGAAGACAAAAUGUCUCACUUAAAGACGGUUUCCGGAUAUUUUAAAAACCUAAAUCUCUUCCUUAACAGUGCCAUGAAGAAAUCCCUUCUCAGUAAAAACGGUCACCUUGACCUGAUUGUUCGCUUCCUUCAUGGACUCUCUCUGGAGUCAAACCAGAGACUCUUAGGAGGUCUGCUGGGUCACACAGACAACAGUCCAAUAAUGAUCCAAAGAGUCAUCAACAACCUGAAGAAGAUGAACAGUAAAGAUAUCUCUCCUGACAGAAGCAUCAACAUCUUCCACUGUCUGAUGGAGAUGAACGAUCUGUCAGUUCAUCAGGAGAUCCAAGAGUUCCUGAAGUCAGAGAACAGAUCAGAGAGGAGACUCUCAAUGAUCCACUGCUCUGCUCUGGCCUACAUGCUGCAGAUGUCAGAGGAGGUUCUGGAUGAGUUGGACUUUAAGAAGUAUAAAACAUCAGACCAGGGACGACUGAGACUGAUGCCAGCUGUGAGGAACUGCAGAAAGGCUGAGUAAGUCCAGGUUUUAUUCUCAGAAUAGUGUAAAUGAUCCCUGUAGUUCUUCCAAUGUCCACGUUACUGAUGAUGUUCUUCUUCAAAUAGAAAUCAGCUGAAAUAUCAGGGAGGGGGUUUCUUUAGGUUCAGCAAAAACAUGAUCCUGGUGUCAGAAGUCCUGUUAGCCCAGGAUGAGGUCUACCUGUGGACCCCUGAGAACUUGUCCUGAUUGUGGAGGACCUCUUUGUUUUGAAUCGUGUCUGUAAUGAAUAAAGUGGAACUUUCAGGACAAAUCAGUGACCAUAUCUGAGGACACACAGAGGUCUUCUGAUGAUGGUAUCAGUCCAGAUCAACAUCUCAGUCAGUUGUGGUGAACUUGAGUUUGAAGAAGGUGUCUGCAGCUUCUUCCUGCUGGUUUUCAGGUUGGAAAUGAUGAAUCUGUUGUAAAUGAGGGUGUUGACAGCAUUGAUGGUGAAAAUAGAAGUGGAUCAUUUUCUACACAGUGGCAGAACUGUCUCUGUACCAUCAUGUUCAUCAUUCAAUAUUCAUCAUCAAUACAACCAUGAAAACUAACAUCAUUUUCCACCACUUCAAAGAUGAAUCUGUUUUUCCUUUUUUUUCUCCUGACUCCAAAUGUUUCUUUCUGAAUGAAACACACAAACGAGCAAAAUUCAAUCUGUUAUUUUUAUAGGAGUCAUGAGAACGUACGCCCCCUAGAGUUCAUAUGAGAGAGAGAGAGAGAGAGAGAGAGAGAGAGAGAGAGAGAGAGAGAGAGAGAGAGAGAGAGAGAGAGAGAGAAACAAAUACAGAGGUUCAGUGGGUCUUUGUAUCUGUCUCUUAAAGGUCUCUCUGGAUUCAUCAGGCUUCAUAAACUUGUUUCUGCUGGUGAAGGGAAUGUUACAUGGAGAAAAAACUUUGACUGUGAAAACAAAGAAAUCUUCAACUCUUCAAAUGUUCAGAGUCAAACCAGCUCUAACCUGCUGAAAAACGAUUUGAUCUGAACCAAUCAUAGAAAAAGGAGCUGCUGCUGUGAUUUAGUGAGUCGUCCUCUGAUUGGUCAACAGUCAGUGUCUAUGGACAGACUUACAUUACAGCAGGAUGUCAACAUUAAACACUGAGAGGAGCACUGAUUCUCCAAGAGGUACUUUGGAUACUAACCAAUCACAUACCAGGACCAAAAACCUGGUUCUCAGUCCCCUUCUCCAACCAGAACUCAAGAAUUCACACAAUCAUAAUGAUCCAGCUUAGUGCUGGACGAUAAUUCGAUAACAAUAUAUAUCGAUCGAUAGACGUGUGGUGCGAUAGAAAAAAAACGGGUCGAUAAAAAGUUCGAUAGAAAAACACAGUUUCCCUUUCUUUUUCAUCAUAGCCUAUCAUGUAGCUUUUACUACAGUCAUUGCUUCCUCCCAACCAAUCACAAACGCAGACCCAGGUACGCUACGGCACCAAGCCCAGCCCCUAUCAAACCACAACAGACAGCACGUGUAUUAGAAAAAAUGAUACAGCAAGGAGAAGCGGAGGAAAUUGUCCCGAAAAAAGGUCUCAGUAGUUCACCAGCAUGGCAGUGUUUUGGUUUUUAGAAGUCUGACAAAAAGCGAACAGCGGUCGUUUGCAAAAUUUGCAGAGAAUUAGUAAAAACCAAGUCUGGUAACACAACCAACUUGUUUUACCAUCUAAACCGGUCGCACCCGCAGGAGUACGAGCUGUGUCGGCCGCGCCGCGGCUCCACGUCAUCGUCGGCGGAAUCCUCUGGAACCGCUGCCAGCACCAGCACAAAGCAUGUGAAGCAGACCAAACUGGACAUCGUUUCUUGCCAAAAUACGACAAAGCGUCCGAGCGACAUAAGGACAUCACCCAUGCAGUAACAUGCUCCAUAGCGAGGGACAUACUGCUAAUAACUACCGUUGAAAAGCCGGGUUUUCGACCAGCUUCUAGCCACUCUCGACCCGCGAUAUGAAGUGUCCGGCCGCAAGUAUUUCUCAAACACAGCGCUUCAGGCAUGAAAACGGGUCAGGGGUUGAAAAGGUGAGAAGGGUGCGGAGGAAAUACGUUCCGGUGUUUGCCGUAGGAUGCACCCCUGCAUCCCGUCCACUCAUUCGCUUCUUAAAGUGGAAGAAAAUGAGCUCAUAUUUUACAAAGACGCGAGUAUUUGGAUCAUGGCUACUAGCAGGGGGUGCAUUCGGCAGGGGUGCAUUCUACGACACAACACCAGCGUGGAUAAGUCCUGCUUCUCGUGCUUAGUUUGUGUAUUAAGUCAAUCACAUGAUAAUUAAAAAAAAUAAAUCUCCCGACCCCGGGAGAAAUAUUUCAGUGUUCAGACACCAGGUUGUGGGCAGUUUCCCACACAGUUAAACCUGGUAGUAUGCUAUUCCCACCUAAAGCUAUUCUGUUUAUUUAUAUAUUUGUUUGUUUUGUUUAUUUUCAUCAAAAGACUAUUUAAAUAUUUAUUUAUCAGAUUUUCUGGUCACUUAAGUCUUUAUGUUUGUCAGUAUUUACUGACGUCACUCAGGCCACUUAAGUUGAUUUCUUUUUUUUUUAGUUCUUUUUAAAAAAACUUUCAGUUGUGGUAAAAUAAAAAAGGUGGUUGAAUAAAGGUUUGAAUUUAAAUUCAGUGCUUGUGUGUUCUUUAUUAAAAGUAGGUCAUUAAGCAAUAGCAUAAAACAUCCAGGGCUGCAAUUAAAAUAUAUGUUAAAUAAUUAUAAUUAUAUCGAUAAUUAUCGAUAUCGAUCAAUAUGAUUUAUUUUUUAUCGAUAUGAUUUUUUUCUAUAUCGUCCAGGCCUAAUCCAGCUGCACUAACAUGAAGACAACACUGUUAGAGAACAGAAUGACUAAAAUAAGUCAUGGAGUCAUUUGUCUUGAACAUCUGAACAGUUUUAUUUUUCUUCUAAACUUUGACUUCCUGUCUUCUCUCAUUGGUCCUGAUAUUAGUAUCUGUCUGGUUGAAAACAGGCCGUCUGUCAAACCAAAGAUCAUGUUUGUUUUUGGUGAAGAGAAACAUCAAAUUACCCUUCAAUGAAAUAUUGUUUGAUAUUCAUGUUGUUACAGAUUUAUUAAAUGUGGACUCUCAGAGACUCACUGUGAAGUUGUGGCCUCAGCUCUGAAGUCCAACCCCUCCCAUCUGAGACAUCUGAACCUGAGCGGAAAUGAUCUGCAGGAUUCAGCAGUGAAGCUUCUCUCUGCAGGACUGGAGAGUCUAAACUGCAGACUGAAGAUUCUGAUGUGAGACACCAUUUCCUUCUGAUCUAACAAUAAGAUGUGACAGCUGCUGCCUUAGAUUUUUCUCUGUGGUUUUUCCAUCAACUUUGGUCGAGCAGUUUGAAUUUGUCGUUGUUAAACUUCAACACAGGAAGAAAAAUCUGACAUUUCAGAGUUGACUUUGAGUAGAACGAUGGAUGUAGAAAGGAAGCAGGAGAAAAUCAGUCCCACAAAUAUUACACAUGCUUGUAGAGGGCAGGAGCAGCACAGACUAAAGGCUGAUACUGAACUGAUCCACAGUUAAUGUGAUCACUAAUGAAUGAAUGAAGUGUCAGAGAAAUGAUGAGCUGCAGAUUGAAACCUGAAGAACAAAGUUAAUCCAACUCUGGAUAUUUCAUUUGGAAACUCUUGAAAACUUGAAUUUCUUCUUUGCUCAGUCGUGUUCAAAUGUAAAAACCAGAUCCAGAUUUUUCUGCAGUUUUCACUUCAGUUUGUUGAACAUGAACAUCAUCUUGUCCAGUUGGUCCAUAAAAACCUCUCUGAUCAAUGAUCUGUUGGUUUAUUUGAGAGUAGUUUGACAGUUGUUGACAGCAGACGGACAGAGCCCUGAAUAAACUCCUGACUGUUUUCAUCUUCAUGAAGAAUUCAGGACUACAAAAAAACCUUUGAGAUUUCUCACAUUAAUUUCUUAGACUCUGGGGUAAGUUUAGUCUUUGUUUGUUUCUGGUGUAGAUUUUGAUGUUUAAUCAUUUUUUUUAACUCAAUUCAAAUGUUCACAGACUUGCUGAAUAUUUCCAGAACUUUCUUCUCACUCACAUAAAUUCAUAGUUUUUAUUGAAUCAGCAGUCAGAUACAGAUGGAGGAAAAUGAGCACUGUGAGUUAUUAUGUUGAUUGAAUGUUGAUGAUUUUUUAUAAAUGGUUGAGAUGAUCACUGCAGUGAUGUUGACGGGUUUACUUCCUCGGUCUCUAAAACAUUUAAAUGUUCAAUGAUGCAGUGAACUCACUAUCCAUGCAGCUCAGGAACACAGCUCAUCUUUUUCAUACAGGAAACUUUGUCAACAACAAAGGUGUGUUAAAGUCCCAUCAGUCAGCAGCUUCAGUCAGAGACCUUGCUGUCAGAGCUCCGUCAUUUCAACCCUCUGUAUAACUCCUCAGCACAGACCAGACCCUGUGAGCACAUCCUCACAACAUGCUGCUUUAGCAACAACAACAACAACAAUCAGCUGAUAGCAGAGAUUUCAUCCAAACAGUCCAGGAUACAAACUUUGAAGUGGUUGGAAAAUUCAGGUGUCCACCGCUCAUGCAGAGUUGACUCAUGUUGAUGAUGUUUUCAUGUCUAGAGGACAUGCUGGAGUGAAUUCAACCAAACCUCCUGAGAAAAAGACAGCAGUGGCAGCCAUUAGAUCAGACUUCAUGACGUCUGUGCGUCUCUUUAAUCAACCAAAUCAGCAGUCUGAGAGUUUUCCCUCAUCUCUUUAGAUUUGAUGGUUUUUGUGAGUGAGAGGAAGAGUGGAUCUGUCCACUGUCUGACCUUGUUGAUCCUGAUGAAGGUGAGGGAGAAGAGUAAAGCAGUAAAGGUGAUGUGACAAAGGUGACAAAGAUCCUCCUGUUUCCUCCAUGUCACAGUUCAAGUUCAUUUUGAAGACUUUUAUUGAUCCGAGCGCUGAAGAGGAACAGGAAACGUGGAGUAGAGAGUGAGGGAGGACUUACAGCAAAGGAUCAUGGGAGUCCAACCAGCAACUGCUGCAACAAGGACUCCACCUUCUGAACAUCUGAACCUCUAAUCCAAACCAGUGCUCCAUCACAUUUGAUGUCUUGUCUGUUAUUUUACAUGGAGGGUCAGAGCAGACCAGAUCAUGAGCUCUGACAGACUGGAUCUGGUCCAAAGGUCUCCUGUUGGAGUUCUCUGAGCUCAAUAUUUUAAACCUGAACACCUGAAGUUUGAUUAUUAAUUAUUUUUAUCUACAUUCUCUUUCCUUUUUUCAGAUUGUAUGAGUGCGGGUUGUCAGAGAUCAGCUGUUCUUCUCUGGCCUCAGCUCUGAAGUCCAACCCCUCCCAUCUGAGACAUCUGGACCUGAGUAACAACAAGCUGCAGGAUUCAGGAGUGAAGCUGCUGUGUGACUCUCUGCAGAGUCCAAACUGUAAACUGGAGAGUCUGGGGUCAGACUUUUUUCCUCCAUUCAAACAUGAUCAUGAUUUGUUUGUGAUGAUGACACUAAACUGCUGACUCAGGACUGAAAUACUGACCCAGACUGAACACCUUCAGUCCAGAGUAGAUUUUCUGCUUCAGUGGAUUAUUUGAUUGACUCCAGUUCGAUCACUGCUGAGCUCCAGUGAAUUAAAACCUGAACCCAAGAAGAAAACUCUUUGUAGAGUUCACAGUGAGAAGCACAUUCAGACAGAAAACAGAAGCAGGGGGAGAUUUGUCAGACGAGAACCAUUCAAACUUUUGUUCAGGACAAGAUCAGGGAAUAGAAAAAACUCAGAGUUUAGUUUCUGACUCUGAUGAAAGUCCAGCUCUGUUACUUUGAAUUUUGAUUGUUUUUGAAUCUUUGUGUGAAAAUCUGAAUUUUCUGGUUUAUCUGCACUUUUCUGCAGCCUUGCUGUGUUAAGACUGAAAUAUUUACCUCUCAAAGACGUGAUAUUUUUGGUUCAGCAAAGUGAAAAUAUUCUGAACAUCCUUUAUUUCCCAUCCGUCCUGAAGUCGUUGACAUUUUCUGAAAAUAUUGAUCUGCAUCUACAAUCAGUAAAAAAGUCUCUGAGUUUGUUUUUCACUAUUUCAUGUGUUUUUGAAUUCACUGUUUCAAACUGACUUCCUGUUUGGUUCAGCUCUUUGGAGCGUCACUUUUCUCUGAUUCAUACUUUCCAAACCUUUCCCCUGAACUCUACAGAUUUAAGACAUCAGGUUUCAAACUGGAUCAUUUUUCUCUAAAAUCUCAUUAUUUCCUCUUUAUUUAGGUUAAUGAGCUGCAGUUUGACAGAGAUCAGCUGUUCUUCUCUGGCCUCAGCUCUGAAGUCCAACCCCUCCCAUCUGAAAACUCUGUGGCUGAUGGGAAACAAUCUGCAGGAUUCAGAUCUGAAGCCGCUGCGUGAUCUUCAGAAGAGUCUAGACUACAGACUGGAGGAUCUGGGGUCAGUAUAGAGUUGGAGUUAGUCUGUGCUGAUCUCUCCUGUUCCUCUCCACACAGUAUCACAGCAGAUAUUCAGUAUUUCCUGCUGACUCUUCGACCCUCUCAGAGGAUUCUUUCUUUAGUGAAGCUGUGAGAACAGAAAUCAUCAAACCAGGAGUGUAAGAGUGUCAGUCAUGAAAAAAGUGUCUCCUCGUCUCUAUAUUUCAGAUCAAAUGUAGAAAUGAGACAUAAUGAAACAGAAAUGUUCAGUUUCUGCUCUGAAGUCCAGUUUAUAGUUCUCUGUAUUCAACACAGACUUUAUUUCUCUGCUAACUUGUUGAUUUUGAGCUCUAAGUUUGAAAACAGACAGCUGUUCUUUAUACUUGUUCUUUUCACAGCAGGUUUGUUACUUCAGCUUUAACACAUUUGACAGGAAGGAUUUCUUUAUUUUGAUGAUGUUGGUUUAUUUGUGAGGAAACCUGCUGCUGUACACCAUCACUUCUGGUCUGAGCAGGACUGGAACCUGCUGGUCUGUAAACUGGAUGUUCUUCAGUCCAGCUGAUGAAGUGAGUCUCAGAGUGGAAACACUGAUCGUCUGUUUUUCUCUCCUCAGGUGGAGUUAACAUCUGUCAGAGUGAUUAAGAAGAGGAUCAUCUGUCUUCUGACGAUCAGAGAGGUGGAGGCAGCAGCAGUGAGGGUGAGGUGAGUCUCUGACUGGGCCGUGUUACUGAGAGACUGACUGACCAAUCACAGCGGGCGGAGAGGAUUGUGGGAGCUGCACUUUGACCUGCUCUGAGAUCAGCUCAGGACCUGGACUCUGGAUAUUUGAUCUUUUCCCUCAUAUUCUGGGAUCAAACAGUCUGAACAGAUUUGUUUUGUUGAUGGAAACAUGAUCAUACAUUCACCCACUGAUUGGAUUACUUUUUUUUUGCCUAUGAUGCAGCGCCACCUAGUGGAAAUAUAAAGCGGUGGAGUUGAUUUAUUCCCACAGACUUCUGCAGCAGUAGUUGAUACCAUGUGUGACAGCAGAUCAGUCAGAAGUUCUGAUUAAACCCAAAGGUUAUUCUUUCCUUUGCACCGUCAGAUAUAAACUGAAGGGAGAGGAAGAGAACUGAGGAGAGAUGGAGGUGAAGGGAGGAGGACAGGGUUUGGGGUUUCAGAAAAAUCAGAAGCUUUAUUCUUUUAUUUGCUUAUAUUUAUUUAUCUGUUUACUUUUUAAAUUUCUGAAAUGAUUUUCAGUAUUGACUGGAGGUGGAUUGACCUUAGUUUUUAUUAUUAGACAUUAUUUUUUUUCUCUUUACAUGUUUUUGUUCUCAUAUAAUCUUUGAACUCAUCAAUAAUUAAUUCCCUCCUGUUUGGAUGAACAAACACAAUUAUUAAACCAUAAAUGAGACCUGAAUGUAAAAGUAAAAUGUGUGAAAUAUAAUUUGUCAAAGUAAAGAUUCUUUAACAAGAAAACUUGAUCUAGUUUAUUAUGAUGGAGACGUUUUCCUCUGACAGACUAAAAUUAUCGGAUUGACUCGAGUCUGGAAAAAGUGUGAUCAGCAUCUAUUCAGGGUGAAGUCAUUAAUACGGUUGAUGCUGUUUUAUAAACUCAGUGUUGUUGAUUACAAUCUCAGCUUCAUAAAUUUGAUGCUACAGUGGAGUGACUUCCUGUAAAAUCCACUGGCUUUGUGAGACCGUUAGCUUUCAGGAGAUAAGUUUGUGUUUCUGUGACACUCCAGAGCUUUUCUAUCCCACAGAGAAGAUCGGUUUGUUUUCAGAGACCUUCUUGAUCCCAUCCCUCCAAAAUGAAAAUAAUCUGAUGAUUUAUGGAUUAAUUUCAGUAACAAAGUGUCAUUUCUGUUGUAAACCAAUUAGAGGCUGUAUCUGCUAUCAGCUGACCUGUAAAGGUCCAAUCAGAAGCCAGAACAGCUCAUCACAGUUCGCUUAUCUAGUAUCAAUAGAUCUGUGCUCUGUCUGCGUAGCAGUAUGUUUAUGCUUCAUUUACACCAGAUCAUUUUUUAUUUAAUUUCACUGUCACAAUGUCAUUUGAAAACAAUAAAAACUUUAUUUGAACUAAAACAUGUUAAAAACAUCAA